UUGUUUAAAUAUGGAAUAUUAAAUUUGUGUUUUAGUGGCAAAGAUCAUGCACAACAUACAGAUCAUGGACAAAGGUGUUGUUAGAUCUGGAGCACAAACGGGCUACCAUGGAAACGAACCUCUACAUCUAGGCAGUGGUGCAAAUGGAAAACAGACAUUCAGAUCUACAAAGUUGUACGGCAGAUUCUGGAGUACAAAACGGUUACCAUGGAAACAUACAUCUAGGCAGUGGUAUAGAUGGAUGACCGACAUCUAGAUCUGCAAAGUUAUACAGCAUAUUUUGGAGAAUACAUGGUAUGAAGUUUACUUUUAAUUUCUUGUAACACUAUAAUACAUUUGUUUCUGUCUUUACACAUACCUUUCUGUAUGUUAUGCAUUCAACAGGGUUACCACGGAAACGUAUAUAUACCUAAAGGCAAUGAUAUAAACGGAAUGCAGACGUUCAGAUACACAAAGUUUUACAGCAGAUGAAGCAUGUAAGGUGUGUAUGUUUACUUUUUCUUCCUUUUGGCAACAUUGUUAUGUUUGUUUUUAGCUCGACUUUUCGAAGAAAAUGUAGAGCUAUUGCACUCGCCCCGGCGUCGGCGUCGGCGUCGCCGGUGGUUAAAGUUUUUGAUAAAGUCAAAUAUCUCUGUUACUAUCAAAGCUAUUGACUUGAAACUUACAAUACUUAUUUACUAUUAAAGUCUACACCAGGAGAAACAAUCCCCAUAACUCUGAUUUGAAUUUUGACAGAAUUAUGCCCCUUUUUAACUUCGAAAUUUUGGUUAUAGUUUUUGAUAAAGUCAAGUAUCUCUGUUACUAUCAAAGCUUUUGACUUGAAACUUAAAAUACUUCUUUACUAUCAAAGUCUACACCAGGAGAAACAAUCCCCUUAACUCUGAUUUGAUUUUGAGAGAUUUAUGCCCCUUUUUAACUUAGAAACUUUGGUUAAAGUUUUUGAUAAAGUCAAAUAUCUCUGUUACUAUCAAAGCUAUUGACUUGAAACUUAAAAUACUUCUUUUUUAUUAUUAAAGUCUACACCAGGAGAAACAAUUCCUAUACCUCUCGUUUGAAUUUUGACAGAAUUAUGCCCCUUUUAAACAUAGAAUUUUUAGUUAAAGUUUUUGAUAAAGUCAGAUAUCUCUGUUACUAUCAAAGCUUUUGACUUGAAACUUAAAAUGCUUAUUUACAAUCGAAGUCUACACCAGGAGAAUUAAUUCCCAUAACUCUGAUUUGAAUUUUGACAGAAUUAUGCCCCUUUUAACUUAGAUUUUUUUGUUAAAUUUUUUCAUAAAGUCAAAUAUCUCUGUUACUAUUAAAGCUUUUGACUUGGAACUCAAAAUUGUUAUUUAAUUUCAAAGUCUACACACGGAGACACAAUUCUCAUAACUAUAAUUUGAAUUUUAACAGAGUUAUGCCCCUUUUUAACUUGGAUUUUUUUACUGCCAAAGCUCAAAUUCAGAGUCAAGCACUGAGAAAAGUCGAGCAUGCCGUCUUACGGACAGCUCUUGUUGUUUUUACACAUUUCGUCUGUAUCUUAUACAAACAACAGGUUUAGCACGGAAACGCAUGUCCACGUCAAUGCAAUGGUAUAAAUGGAUAACCGACGUUCAGAUGUACUAAGUUAUACAGCACAUUUUGGAACAUAAAGGGUUUGUAUAUUUACUUUUCUUUUGAUGCGUAAUUUGUAUAAAGGUAACACUAAUAUUAUAUAUGUUUGUUUCUGUUCUUACACAUGCAUUUCUCUAUCUAUACACUAAACAGGGUUACCAUGGAAACGUACCUUUUUAUCUAGGCAAUUGUAUACACUGAUGACCGGCGUUCAAGGCCCUGGCAAAGAGAGAAAUCCAGCUGUCGAUCAAGCGCUACAGGUUUAGCUUUAAAUAAUCUAAGCCUUGCUAAGACCUGAAAAUAAAUGUCAGGCAAAACUGAAACAAAAGCAAAAUAACUGGAUGCACUUAUAGAUCACCUGAUCUAUCUUGUAUAUUUUUGCUUCGUAAUACUGUUUGUUUAGUGUAUGCUGUUUUGUCAGGGAUCUGUUUGCAGUGGCUACUUGGUUGUUUUUGUGGUGGUGUUUGUUGUGGUGUUUUUGUGUAUAUGGAGGUGUCUGUGGUGGUUUCAAUGUGGUCUUCUCGGUUUUAUUCUUGAUGGUUGUAUUGUUUUGUUGAAAACGGGCAUUUGGUGCGUUUUGUUUGUUGUAUCGGGCUGUCGACAUGGUGUUUUUUCUUUCUGCCAUUACCAAUGUAUUAUUACUCGCUUUGUAUACUGUAGAAAAUUAUUAGAAUAAGUUCAAUAUUACAUUUUGUUAUAACUUUACUUGUCCAGCAAAUUUUAGAUACCCGGAAACACAUAUGAAGAUAUAUGCGGACGAAUAGGCAUCAUGUGCAGACGAAGGCUUGGACUGGGAAGCAUGCGCCGUUGUUUUAUUUCUGCUUUUUAUUCCUUUUGUUUUGCAUUGCUUUUCCACUAGACUAUUGGGGCACGUGAAGAACGAAGACGCAGACGGAUAUUGAAGAUGCAUACCAGACAAAAUUUGGGUUACUUUUUAUCACGAACAGGUGCGUAUGUUGCUUUUUAUAUUAUUCUAUUUUGUAUGCAUCCCUUCGCAGAAUUUUCAAGUUGAAUACAAGCUGGUGUAAAGAUGUAGCAUUGUCGAUGACACAAUCAUCUAGUGGAUGGUGAAGAUAGCGCGGCUGACGUUGACUGUACAGAUACGCGUUAAGAUGUCAUGCUGUAGAUGUGACAAUGGUUUUGUGGACGACGCAGCUUGGUUCUUCUUUUUGGACGCACUGAGGAAGCAGAGGUCAAUUUUCCACUUGGAGUAAUUCAAUAGCAUGGCAAUGUGGACACAGAUCCUGGUUUUGGUAAAAGAAGUACUCGAAAUAUCCGACGAAAAGCAAUUUCUUGGAUUAUACACGAAGAAAAUGUUAGUUAAUGGAACAAUAGCAGCAGUAGAACUACCUUGCUGGUACCCAAACGAAGCCGGUCAUCAGAUGUGCAUUGAAACCCUAUCAAACCCUUGCGUUACCAUGGUAAUCAGCCGUUAUCAACAAGGCAAAGUAGUGCAUGGAUAUAGUGGAAUUCAAGCCUUGGUGGACCUUUCUUCUUUAUUUGUCCAGUCUUGUUGAUGGUAGACAGCUGUUCUACACCUCGUACACAACAGUGAAACCCCCUCGGACGAAGAAUUCGUUCAGAUCUAAAAGGCAAGAAGACAGUUUUUGCCAUUAUUGAAAGACAUAGGAAAAAAAAGCAAUGUCAGAAAACAAAUAUCACCAUACCGUCUUGUCUUGAAUGUUUCCAACAGCUGACAGUCCGAUGUAAGCCAGAUUCACAAGUAAGAAGUAUCUGCAGAAGAAAGAACCAAUUAUGGUAGAUCCACGACAGUCCUGUCACAAGCAAACAUGGUAUCACCACAGCCCUGACACAAGCUUUGUUGAGAUUAGAUAUAAACUAACAUGUAUAUAAUUAUACCUUCAUGUACAAAGUACACGGGAUUAUAUUGGAGUCACACAUGUCAGCGAGUCCGUUCGUCCGUUCGCCUAUCUGUGCAUCAUGUCCGCUGGGAAGAUUGAAAAAAAAUGGCUUCAUUUAUUAGCCUCAACAAGAAUGUUUGUUGUGCACAACCCAAGUUACUAGGCCCAAGGUCAGUAUUACUCUUGGUGGACAAAGAUCAAAUAACUUUAAUUUAGUGUCCGCUCCAUAUUGUCUUAACUGCAACGAAUAUUUAGGUCAAGCAUUCGUUAUUGUACUGCCCUGCCUUCAGGGUCACUGUCACCGUUGCACUCAGGUUAAACUUUUAUAUGAUUCUCAAAAUCACUAUAUUUUCUUAACUACUGCCCAUAUUAGCAUCAAACUUCACAUUUGUUGAUUGUGGUAAAACGCAGACAAUUAUUUGUUAGGGGUCAAGCAUCCAAAAGGUCAAAGUUACUUGGGUCAUAUUUUGUAAUUGUGCUGGUUAAAUCUUAGAUUGUUUCUUAUAUCUUCUCAUUCACCCGCCCCUACCCCCUACUCUACCCCCAAAAGGAAAAGAGUCUUAUUCAUCACUCACGCUUACUUAUAUCCUAUAGCAAUAAAUAUUGGUCAGCAUUUCCGAAUAGUCACGCGGGCUUUCCUUACAACAGUUCUUGAUAUAAAAUUAGGAUUAGUAAAUAGAUGUAAGCACUCACAACCUAGUUCAUUCGGUCAAAGGUCAAGUUCUGACUUAAAAGACCGCACCAUAUUGUCUAAUCUAAUAAAGUAAGCACUAACUGUCAAUUCCAUCUAGCCACUAGGUUAAAGGUCAGUGUGACACAUAUGAGGUCAAAGGUCAAAUAGCUUUGUGUCUGCUACAUAUCUUGUAACCCCAUUUUCCAUACACUCAUAAAACUAGCAAUAAAUAUCAAGAAGACCUGUAUAGAACCCAGGUUAUUAAAUCCAAGGUCAAGGUUACGCUUGAAUGUCAAAAUGUUGACAACAUUGACUUACCCUGCAUCAAAGAAGCGUCUGGGGGUAACAAUCGCUCUAGUUUAUCAUUUUUAGCGGACUAAAUUUGUAAUUGUUUCAACCAUUUGACAAAUAUUUCCUAAACUUUAGGAUAAAUAUUUAAAACAAAAAUCAGUAAAUUGUUUGUUUUUUUUAACACUGAUACAUUCAAACUAUUUUUAGACACAGCGAAUAUUUUAGCUUGAUUUGUUGGCAGUCAUGAUUUUAUGCAAGGUAUUUUUCUAAAUGAUAUUUUUAUUACAAAUACAAAAUGUAGCACAUUUGACAUUAAUGUAAAAAAGCAGGGACAGUGAAUUUUGUAAGAAAAAAAUGUAGUUGGUUAAAUAUUUCAAAAAGUGUCUCAAAUUUUUGCUCUUUUGAACAGUUGCGUUUUAACUGGUCAGGGAUUGUUUCAAAAAUAAAUAUGCGUAGUUUAGUUGAUGUAUAAAAAGCUACUUUUUGCAACUUGUACAUUUUGGAGUGGGGGCUAAAUUACAAACCCUCAUAUAUUUUAAAACAUAUAGAGGACAUUCCUUUGUUUCAGUGUAAGCUCGAAACAGAAACAUACUAAUGUUCACACGUGAAAAUUUCUAAAAAAUAAUCACACGGAUUUUAUUCUAUUGCAUUUUAUUAUUAUUUUUAUUUUAUAUUUUCUGCCAACCUAACGCCAUACGCUAUGUGUAACGUUACUCUACAUUUUAUGGCAAUACUUAUGUUGGAAAAAAGUGACAUAGUGACAUUUCAAUCUACAUGUAGUUAUGUUUUAGUUAAAAUAAUAUCUGAUUCUACGUUAUUCAUAUUCUUACGUUAAAUUGUGGUUACAUACAAGUGAAAAUUGUAUUUGGAUUUCUCACCUUUUAAGAGCGGCUGUAUCAGGGUAUAAUGCAUCGUCGUUUUCUUGAAAUCUCAAAAUAUGGUAUAUAAUUCCAU